rnacentral:lncRNA from 1 species
UCGAUGAGGAAGGCCCGGUCACCAAGUAACGCGCAAUCGAACAGUUCGCCUUGGUUCAUGUCCCGGAGAAGCUUGGCCCGGCCCGUUUGUUUGUCCAUUCCAUAGCGUGCCAAUAUUGGCGACAAUAAUUUGCAGUGGUAGUUGGAGAGGCCCAUCACCUUUACCAGUUCCGUGUUCUUCUUGGGAGCCCCCGUCACUCCGAGUAGCGCGUUCCGCAGCAGAUUGUGCAGCACUACGUCCGGGUCGGUCACCUCCUCCACUCCCAGCAGCUGUUGCUGCUCGUGCCGCUGUCCGCACUCGGUACACUCGAUGCUGACAGAACCCGAGGCCGGGAAGAAGAGGCGCGCCUGGCACUUGGGAUCCGGGCAACUCCCGGAAAGGAUUCUUCGGUCCCUUCGUUUCGAAAGGCCCCCCGGAGAAGCCGCCGCCGCCAGAGACGACGAAGUCUGCGGAGCCUCAGGGGGAGGCGGCGGCGGCGGCAGCGGAGGAGGCGGCGGCGGCUGAGACAUCGCUCUCGGCUCUCGCUCGGCGUCCCAAGCGACCCUCAAAGGCACAUAGCCAGACCUCCGCCGGCCCGACGAGGUCUAGUCCAGGCCCAGGGCGAAUGGCUUUCCUUUUCCUACCAGUUCCUCCUCCUCCUAGGCGAAGGCGGAAGCGCCGGACGUUGUUUCUCUUCUCACUUCUCCACUGCCUUAGCCGUUGCCCCGAACGUAACGGCCACCACCCCACCCCGCACUCACACUCACUCACUCUCGCUCUCUCCCUCAGACACAGACAUACACGCCCUCACUGAGACUGCGCAGGCGUAGCUUCUGCUCUGCCCUCUGGGAACCAGAGUCUUCCGGCUCCUCUCUCGCGAAGGAGUGCUAGGCGCUUCCGUCCAGAAAGAACUUCAAAUACCGUGAUGCAAAGCGACUCGACGCACGCGGGGAGGAGGAAGAGGAAGGCACUCGGAAGAGGACAAGUGGUGGCUCCAGACUGUCUGAAGACAGGAGUCUGUCAAGUGUCUGCUUUAAGAAAUCAGGUGUGCUGGCUGCUCCUAACUCUCAGAAGAAUGGGGAAGGGAGAUAAAGUUUUAUCACCCAGCUCUGUGGAGGCUUUGGUUGAAGUUCCACUAGUAAAUUGUCAACCUUUCUGCCUCAGAUCAGCAAGCCUUCCCAACACAAGACUUCGCAGAUGACCCUUUCAACAGAUACGAGGACAAUUCAACAGAGGAGUGGAACCUGUGGACAUGGAAGACACUGAAAAUAUACUCCAUCUUCAGAACAGCUGAGACACUAUACAAUUACUAUCUUCACUUUACAGAUGACAGUUUGGAUGUGAACUUGGCAACAUUCCUAGGAAUUCAUAGCUGGUGACAAAAAAAAAAAUAUAGUCAAGGCCAAACAGUGCAUAUAUUUUUCUGUUGUCAUUUGCCUGCCUUUUUAUUUUUCUAAUUAUUUUUUUAUUCUUCUUUCACACACUACAUCUCAACCACAGUUUCUCCUCCUUCCAUCCUUUCCAGGUGCCCCACAUGCCUCUCCUCUCCCCUAGAUCCACUCCUCCAUUUCCCUUCAGAAAACAGAAGGCCUUCCAGGGAUAUGAACCAAACAUGGGAUUGAAAGAUCCUGGCAGAAUGUAAAAGGACAGAAGCCCUGAAAUUGGCAAGAUAGACGUCAGUGUUAGCAGAACUAGCUUCACUGAUUUAGAAAAAUAGAAGUGCACAAUGCUCUGGCCACUCCUUGAACCUGUGUGUCUGCCAAUGUUCUGACCAGGUGUGUGCCCAUUGCUGCACCUUCAUUAGACUCUUUCCUUGUACCCCUCCCAUACCCAUUUCUUGAGAAUAGACAUUGUUUAGAUCUGGAAAUCCCCUAAUCUCCCCCUUCUCCUUUCCCCCCUGAGGGCCUAUAAAAACUGGGAACUCUUUUCCCUCGAGGUCGACUCCUCUACCCCUGCGUGGGAUAUGAGUCGUCCCCAGAGCUCUGGCUUUCCCCGAAUAAAGCCUCAUGUGGUUUGC